CUGCUCCGAUAGCAAGAACAUGAGCCAGAGGAAUCUGUAGAUGAUCGUGAUGAUAUCUCCUACCCUUACGUAGAAGAUCUGCCUUACAAUUCUCAUUUGUUGAAAACUAAACCACCGACUGUACUAACAGUUACGAAAGGAGAACUUGAAGCGAUAUUGACAGACUUUCGUAAGCCAAGAACAUCUCAUCGUACGAUCAUCGUAGGCUGGGAGCGAUAACAUUCCACAACAAGAGCUACUGCAGCGCAAGGCCCUCUCCGUCGCUUGUCGCUUGUUUGAAGAGAUAGAAUCGAUAUUACUUUGUAGAGGGCGCCCUUGCCUUUUUUUUGUGUUACUCGAUUCAUCGGAUCAUUUCCUAAACUCGUCUUCUUCAACCGCGGAAGCGUGACAUUUGACCAAACAAACCGAUUGAACAGCAACAACAGUAACAAAAAAACAAAAGCGAAGCCGGAAACAGCAUCGACCACAUGGCCCUCGGAGGGAGGGCUGCAAACAUAUCGAAGAAGCACCCAAAAAAGAAGGUGACGAUGUGCAGACAACACACACGCGCGUGCUGCAUCGGGCAACAGUUGCAACGUGUGGUGAGAGUGUGCCUCCGUCCGACCCCGGUUCCUAACAAAUUUCAAACAGCAAAAGGACGUCGGGCGGGAGGUCAAGAAGGAUGCUACCCAUUAAGAAGUUGUGCAACGAGCCUCACUGCUUCUGAUGUGUGUGUCUAUGUCCAGUUAGCGGCAACAGAGGAGAAAAGGUUUGCCGCGGGUUUGACGGCAGCGGCAGCGGUAGACUCACACUUCCGGUAUUUAAACGAAAAAAGCGUGCGCACACGCGCGCGGCCGAUGAACACACCGGAAAUCGUUUGAACCGUUUGACUCGCCUUCCGGGGGCACUGUUUGACACAUCGGUGAUCCCUGGGGAGGUUGAGGAUGAGUUUGACAUGAAUGUGGGGAGGUAUUGCGUGUGUGAGUGUUACCUUUCGAUGCUUUUGUUUGGUGAGCAUGAGCCUUGAGGCUUCCUCAAAAGACUUUGAAUAUUCAAUAGUGAUUCCUGUUGAUUCUUCAAUCAAAAAUACAUUAUCGUGGUGGAACGAUAAUAAUCUAAGAACUCUGUCCAAGAAAACAUGAACGCGCACCGCGUUGUGUGCAGUUCGUUAGAUAGUCAUCUUUAUGGUCAAUUUGCAGGUUACUUUAUUCUUCUUUCUCUCCCGUUCGUAGAUUCAUAUCCGUAGAGUGUUGUGCACAUUAGAGUGUGUGCAGUGCAGUCCCAUAAAAGUUCACUCUCUGGCCAGGUCAUAAAAAAAACAAAACCCGUCCCAUGGUGUCCGUCGCCCGCGAGCAGCCGAAAGGAAAACAUCUCUCUCUCUCUCUCUUUCCUUGGGACAACCUGUCGAUUAAUGAAGUGGAAAUGGGUACUUUUACCAUUCCUGGUAGUUGGACAGUGUGCGCAACAAAUGGUCGUUUUCUGCAUCCUGCUGAUGGUGGCGCCGUUUCUUUUGGUGUAAGAUGUGUCUCUACGGUUAUAAACGGCAGUGGUUGGCCACAGAAGAAGAAA